AGCGGGCGGCGGCCGGCGCUGGAGCUGCGGACGAUCGAUCGAACACGAGCCAGCCGGCCGGCCGGAGGGCGCUUUUUAGCCGCCAUUUUGCCGACUCUUUUGUUGACUGCCGGCGGCGUUAGAGCUCCCCGAGUGCCGACAACCGUUCAACAAUGGACACAUUCCGGAGCGCGGCGGGACCAGAGUGCGCCGCGGUACGGCUCCUCACCUGCCUUCACCUGUCGGAGGGCCGCCAGACAGCCGACCAGAGUGUCGUCCAUUUUCACACGGCCAGGGUUCAACUACCAGCAGCACCUGUCGGUAGCUGGGAGCCAAGGCGCCGCCGAAUGCUCAUCUGUGGCUUAACAGUGAUUCACCUAAAACUUAGCAAUGGCUCAUUCGAUAAAAUCAGCGGUGGUAUGCAGUAAAUCGUCCAAAACGGCAACUAUGGUUCAUCGUUGCCCCAGUGGUGACUCAAUUGAGACUCAGUGAUGCAGCCGACACUCAGUGGCGACUCAGAUGAACUGGCAGCUGACUCCACUGCCGUUCAGUAACAAUUUCGGGAGGGCUCGACGAGUGCUCACGCUCAGGCCUGUCCCACUCAGUUGUGAGGGUGGAAACCCUUACUGUUGCGAUAUUUUUUGUGGCUUGGGUUCUAAUCAGUGCGACUUGCUGCCUAAUGGUGUGAUGAAAUUGUUUAGAGAAGGGAUUUUUAACGACAUUUGUUUGUGAUUUACCAUUCCACUUUCCAUGCUGAGAUGAAUGUUGACUCAUAAUUGAAAUUGUCUAACUUCUUACAUAUUUUGUAUUUUUAGCGCAAAUCAUUUUCGUCAUUUUCCUUUUCACUUCCCAUGGAAAUCAGAUGGAAUAGUAGCCUUUUGCUCAUAACUAAAGUAAGCUAAAAACAAAUCCCAGAACAAAGCCUAUUUCUUGGCUUUGUUUUUAGCGUACUUUGGUUAUGAGCAAAAGGUUACUAUUCCAUCUGAUUUCCACUAUAUUCAUAAUCAUGCUAAAAAAACGUUCCACACCAUUCAAUUUUCACUUCCCAGUUUUAAUUUGCUCGUGCCUCCUGCUUGGUUUGUUUUAAUGACUGCGCCUGUUUCUGGGCUCUGUUCUCGACGGCGAGUCCCCCUCUUUCCCUCCCAUCCCCGACUUCCUUUCCUUUUGUGGUGACUACGCGAGGGAAAAACUCGCCCGAGGCCAAAAUCAAUGGCCGCUCCAGCCGACGAAUGUGCAGCGAAUACUGCAGCUCUGCGCUGGUUCGGCGACUGAAGGGUCGCUUGAGGUGGAUUGUGGAAGCAGGCAAUGGCCGCGUGUUUCAAAAGUUCCUGAAUACAUAUUCGGGUUGUUGUUACUUAUUUGUUCUGAUGUUUUGGGUAUAUUUUUAAGUGUACUUGUCAUGUUUUUGGAGUGUAAGUUCUAGGCGUUUGUUCUGAGGCGAUUUGUAGAAGGUGCUGGAGAUACAGGAAGAGCUUUUUUGCAGAAUGUAUAAAACGCUAUGUGCGUAUGCAUGAAUACACUAACAUGUGUCCGGGAAAUAACACAUGAACUGAAUGUUGACCCUAUUGCUGUUUUAUGGUGGGAACUGUGCAGGACGCGAGCGGCGCCGAGGGCCGUCCACUGGUACUGAAGUAACUUAUCGGUGACAUUUAUUGUCCGAUUCCCCGUGUGCAGUUCGUUCGCAUGCUAGUUUUGAAGACUGUGAAUAAAGGAGAUAAGGUACUGUCGUUUAACGGGGCAAAUGCAGACAGAAUUACGACACUCA
rnacentral:lncRNA from 1 species